AUGAGUCGACUCAUGAACUUCAAACCUUCAUAACUCCAAAAAUAUAAGUCCAAAAAUCAUGAAACUUUCACCAAUAGAUUACAUAUCAUUUGUUCUACACGAUGAUGCUAUCAAAUCAGAGUUUUGAUGAAAUUAUGAUUUUUCCCCUGUAGAGCAUAAGGUCUUUUUCAAAUAAAAAAUAUUUGUAUUUCUUCAAACUAUUUUGUAGUCAUCAAAAUCAAUCU
rnacentral:lncRNA from 1 species